AGCCUUCCGAAUCCAUGCCGAAAUUUCGACAGAGGCCAAAGCAUUAGGACUGAUGAGACUCUCAAGAUAAGUGGAGUA
rfam:Schistosoma mansoni strain Puerto Rico chromosome 1, complete genome